AAUAGAUACCCAGGUAGUCCACGCCGUAAACGGUGGGUACUAGGUGUGGGUUCUUUCCUAAGGAUCCGUGCCGUAGCUAACGCAUUAAGUACCCCGCCUGGGGAGUACGGCCGCAAGGCUAAAACUCAAAGGAAUUGACGGGGGGCCCGCACAAGCGGCGGAGCAUGUGGAUUAAUUCGAUGCAACGCGAAGAACCUUACCUGGGUUUGACAUGCACAGGACGCGUCUAGAGAUAGGCGUUCCCUUGUGGCCUGUGUGCAGGUGGUGCAUGGCUGUCGUCAGCUCGUGUCGUGAGAUGUUGGGUUAAGUCCCGCAACGAGCGCAACCCUCGCCCCAUGUUGCCAGCGGGUGAUGCCGGGGACUCAUGGGAGACUGCCGAGGUCAACUCGGAGGAAGGUGGGGAUGACGUCAAGUCAUCAUGCCCCUUAUGUCCAGGGCUUCACACAUGCUACAAUGGCCGGUACAGAGGGCUGCGAAGCCGUGAGGUGGAGCGAAUCCCAGAAAGCCGGUCUCAGUUCGGAUCGGGGU
rnacentral:rRNA from 1 species